rnacentral:ncRNA from 8 species
AGGUGGUCCGUGGCGCGUUCGCUUUAUUUAUGGCGCACAUUACACGGUCGACCUCU